rnacentral:rRNA from 1 species
GACGAACGCUGGCGGCGUGCUUAACACAUGCAAGUCGAACGGAGUGGCGAACGGGUGAGUAACACGUGGGUGAUCUGCCUUGCACUUAGGGAUAAGCAUGGGUAACUGGGUCUAAUACCGGAUAGUGCAAGAUGCGCUCGCGGCCGAUGAGAUUGUUGGUGAGGUAAGGGCCUACCAAGGCGUCGACGGGUCGCCGGCCUGAGAGGGUGUACGGCCAAAUUGGGACUGAGAUACGGCCCAGACUAGUACGGGAGGCAGCAGUGGGGAAUAUUGCACAAUCGGCGGAAGCCUGAUGCAGCGACGCCGCGUGGGGGAUGAAGGCCUUCGGGUUGUAAACACCUUUGGACAGGGACGCGGUACCUGUAUAAGAAGCACCGGCUAACUACGUGCCAGCAGCCGCGGUAAUUC